UUUGAGUAAGUGAUUUGUUUCCGUGGGU
rnacentral:piRNA from 1 species